CUGGAAGGCUUCAUCAUGCUUGGGUCUGGAGGAACCCUACAUUCCCACAGCACUUGCAAGAACAUUUUUGAAACUAUUUGAGGCCUUGUUCUGACAGCAUCUACAGAGGCAGGUUAUAGAAAUUUCAGACAAUU
rnacentral:snoRNA from 1 species